GGCAUUUAUCAAUUCUGUACAUGUUCUUCUGACUUCCAGCUGCCACCAAACAUGACUCUCUGUCUGUGGGUGUUCUCCAACCAUGGAACAUGUUAGUGCCAAGAACUUAACUUCAAGAGCAGCCUGCCACUAAUAACUGAAGAGUUUUGAUUUCUGACUGUGUGAUUCACAGUUGAAAAUGCAGUGAGAGGUGAUUGUGGCUGAGGGAAACAAAAUGAAGGUCUAAAACAAUAAAAAGGCCUCUUCUCCAACAAAAUGGUGAAUAAGACUCCACCUACUACAAGGAUUGGGAGAAUAAUAGAGAGUGGAAUGGGAACAACUGCACUCCUCUGCAACCUUCCCACAGAACAGACUUCUAAAGGAAACAUUUGGCCAGAGGACAAGGCCCAGCAAACAUGCAUUCUUUUUACUACUAUUCCAGUAUAA
rnacentral:lncRNA from 1 species